rnacentral:rRNA from 1 species
UUAAUUGAAGAGUUUGAUCAUGGCUCAGAUUGAACGCUGGCGGCAGGCCUAACACAUGCAAGUCGAGCGGUAACAGGGGAAGCUUGCUUCUCGCUGACGAGCGGCGGACGGG